CAGUACAAAACAAAACCCAACAAGUCGUCAUUUUUAUACCAAUUUUGAGGAAGCUUUGCUACUACUUCAGCUCCCUUUUUGUGAUGGCUUAUCCAAUCUGGAAUUCCACAACUUUCUGAAAUAAUAAGAUUUACUCGGGCAAAAGGUUUUUCUAAAGGAUAAAUCUUGCAUUCCAAAUCCUGCAGAAAAUUUAAUUAACACUUAAAUCCCCAUGUCUCCACAAAAAAAGUUUUGGUCUAUGAAUAUCAUACCUGAAUCAAUGAUUUGAAGCAGUUGAAUAGAGAAGACCAGAGUAGACCUGAAGAAGUUUCCAGCCGUUUGCACAAAUGUAUAUCUAAGACACGCAAACUGGAUGGAAGUGCUGGAAUUUGUCGAAGCUCUUGACAGUUACCCAAGACAAGGAGUCUCAGCCUAGAAAGUUGAUUGAUCCCAGCAGGUAUGCUCCUAAAAAGAUUCCCGAAUAGAAAUAAUUCUUGCAGAGAUGAUAGCUGGCAAAUUUCAGUGGGGAUUCCUCCUUCAUCUAUACCACACACACGUAGAUCUACAACUUCCAAGGAGUACAAGCAGCAAAUAUCACUCAGGACUACUCCUUGCAUUAGCUUUGAGUAAAUAAGAUCUAACUCCUUUAAGGAGCAUAAACCUGACAAAGAAAGCAAUUGGCAACAUCUUGAAUUUAAGCCCCUAGCACGGAGACACUUCAAGCUUUGCAGCCUCCCCAGGUUUUGUGGCAAUUUGUGGAGUUUUGAACAGUAAUUCACAUUGAGAUCUUCAAGAAAGCGUAAAUUACAAAUGCUUUCUGGAAGAGUCACAAGGUUUUUGCACCUCUCAAGAUUCAAAACUUGAAGCCUAUUCAAAUGUUCGAUUGAAGAUGGUAGCUCUUUUAUGGCCGUUCCGUUCAAGUGAAGCUGCCUUAAGUUUUCCAUAUUCUCCAAGAUUUCUGGGAAGUACUGUAAUUGUGAACAGUCAGAGCAAAAGAGAGAUUUUAGGGAUUUGAACUCCCAAAUGCUUGUUGGUAGACUCUCAAGGUUUUUGCACUCUCGCAAACAUAAGGUAUCAAAUUCAGAGGCACACUCAAUGGGUGGUAGGCUGAUUGUCUGACCCUUUAAACAAAGCUUUCGGUGUUCCACAUUCCUCUGACAUUCAGCGCAGCUAGCAUCCACAUCAUCAGUCUGUACUAUUGGAUCUUGGGCGUAUAUAGGUUCAAGCCCACACUUGAGCACCUUAAAAUGAUUGCGACAGCCCAUAAAUAUAGCCCCAAGAAACAUGGAUGGAUUGGUGUGACAGCUCUCCAGAAUAGCAGCCUUGGGAUAGAAUAUCACCCACAUUUGUUCUGAUCCACCUCCAUCAUGGUAGCAUUUACAAGUAGUGCGAAAACUGAGACGUUGCGCACACAGGGUAGAAAAUCCAUAUCUAUCAUGUAAUGACAAUUUACAUUCUAACCCAGUGGAGAUUGAAGAUUCAGCUUCAAGUAAAUCGUCAUAUUCAUUUAGGGCUUCGUCACCAGAUUCAUUCUCCGAUGUAUGUGCAAAAUCAUUUUCUGGUAUGUCCUCACAUUCAUCGUGUGGAGCAUAAACACAGCAUAUAGCAAUUCCCAAGAAGUCAUUAUUUUCGUAACAAUUCUGAGGAAGGUCCAUUGUGAUAUGAUUUCCCUCUCUCUGAUUCCUUAUCCACUUGGGAAUUCCACAGCUUCCCGGAACAACAAUACAGACUCCAUUGCCAAUGAAGUCAGAAUCACGGAGAAAUACUUCAUUUGAACUGCUCUUGUAUUUCAAAUCCUGUACAAAAGGACAAUGUAAAUCCUGUGGGUCUGUGCCAUUAUGUGAGUUUUUAUGAGAGAGUUUGUUAUCAGUUUUUGAUAAAUUGAUUCCCAGUUUUAACUUUCUUUGAUCUAUGCUCCUGAAUCUACUUAAUAUCCCUUUUAGAUGACGGAUUAUCAAUCAACAUGAAAGUGAGUGACAAGAUUAAGUGUGAAAACUGGAAGUGAGGGGAAACUGAAACUGAAAGUGAGUAGAAUAACCAGAUCUCUUCUUCACUUGCAGUAGCUUCUUCUCCAUUCAGAUACAGAGAUCUUAGAAUUGUAGCUUCAACUUAACUCUCAGAAUCUUAAAGACAAAGUUCGCUCAAGUUUCAAAAACUCACACAAAAAUUUCUCCUCAUGUUUCUCUUAAUCCUAUGAGGCGAGAGACAUGUAGCACACACUUAUUGGCUUUUUUACAUGCAAGUUUCAAGGUGGAGCGUCUAAUGAACUAAAACAUUCCCUCAAAUCCCAGUGGAAAUUCACACUAGAAAUUGCAGAAUUUGCUAAGGAAAAGUUUAAUUCAUUUAAUCCAUGAAUAAAAAAGUAUGUGAGAGCAUUUUAACAUCCUAAUACUUAUUAUAUUAAACUAUAAUUCUCAUUAUUUAAACUCAUGAUCCUUCACUUCAUCACCAAAUUUUGAAGACACUUUUGGCAUCUCUUCCAUGAAUUAAUUGAUGUUUAAGAAGGUAUAAUAAACUUUUAAUUGAAUUUAACAUUAUUUCUAUCCUAAUACUCAUCUUAAACUCUGUUUUUUUUUUUUUUAUACUCUUAUCAAAACAAAUAAAAACUUAACAAAAAAAUAAAGAUUUCAAUUACUCCGUGUUCAAAAGGGAAAAUGGCUAAAUGUCAUGAAAAUCAUACCUCAAUAGUUGAUUUAAAGCAUUUGAACAGAGAAACACCAAGUAGACAUGAUGGACUUGAUAAAACUUCCAAGCAUGUGCAACUGUGGACAUCUAGAACUCGUAAACUUGGUGGAAGCUCUGGAACUUGUAGAAGCCCCUGGCAGUGACUCAAUUCAAGGACUCUCAGUUUAGAAAGUUGAAUGAUGCCUGCAAGUAUGCUACUAAAACAGUCCUUGCUUAGAUUUAGACCUGAAGCGUACAAACCCUCUAAACAUUGCAAACUCCUCAGGUUCUCGGGAAAUCUCUCAAGUUUUGUACAGAAACUGACAUUUAGAAUUUUGAGCGUUUUCAACUUACAAAUGGCCUCUGGAAGACUCACAAGGUUGCUGCAAUCUGCAAGAUUCAAAUGUUGAAGCCCUCUUAGAUAUUGAAUUGAUGCUGGUAGUUCUUCUAUAGCAGUUCCAUCUAAAUGAAGCUCUCUUAUAUUUUCCACAUCCUCGAGGAUUUCCGGAAAGCUCCUUAAUCGUGAACAGCCUGAGCAGAAGAGAGUUGUAAGGGAUUUCAACUCACAUAUGCUACUGGGAAGAAGCUCAAGGUUUUUGCAUUCUCGCAAACAUAACCUAUUAAGUUUAUGGGGACACUCAAUAGUGGGUAGUUCAUUGAUGGCAUUUCCCUUUAAACAAAGCUUCCAUAGGGAUUGCACAUCCUCUUGACAUUCCCGGCAAACGGUGGAUAUCAUUGCUUUACCAUGGUUCUGUUCAUGAUCAUGGGCAUAUAUAAGAUGGAUCCCACACUCUUCUACUUUCACUGCUUUACCUCUCAAGUAGCCACAAAAUGAAGCCGUCAACUGCCUCCAUUUAUUUGAGUGGUACUUCUCCCCAAUCUCAUACUUAGGAUAAUAAAUCAUCCACAUAUAAGGUACAACAUUGCCGUAAAAUGAGGGAUAAAACUGGAGUUUAUCCACAAACUGAAUUUCAUGACCACGCAAAGUCAAACCAUACUCGAAGUAAGUUGCAUCAUUCUCCAGUGUCUCCUCAGAUUCAUUAUCAAGUGGAUAAUAGACAGAGUACAAAACAAAACCCAACAAGUCGUCAUUUUUAUACCAAUUUUGAGGAAGCUUUGCUACUACUUCAGCUCCCUUUUUGUGAUGGCUUAUCCAAUUUGGAAUUCCACAACUUUCUGAAAUAAUAAGAUUUACUCGGGCAAAAGGUUUUUCUAAAGGAUAAAUCUUGCAUUCCAAAUCCUGCAGAAAAUUUAAUUAACACGUAAAUCCCCAUGUCUCCACAAAAAAAGUUUUGGUCUAUGAAUAUCAUACCUGAAUCAAUGAUUUGAAGCAGUUGAAUAGAGAAGACCAGAGUAGACCUGAAGAAGUUUCCAGCCGUUUGCACGAUUGUACAUCUAAGACACGCAAACUGGAUGGAAGCACUGGAAUUUGUCGAAGCUCUUGACAGUUACUCAAGACAAGGAGUCUCAGCCUAGAAAGUUGAUUGAUCCCAGCAG
rnacentral:lncRNA from 1 species